rnacentral:lncRNA from 1 species
CUCUGUGCUUUAACAAGACCUUCAGGUGCUCUGAAUGCACACCACAGAUUGAAAAGCAUUACUCCAAAUGACCAGAGCAGCAUGAGGUAUGUGUGUGCAUUUUUGGUUUACUUCCUUACAAGUGUCCACUUACCUGUGGUACGGAACCGACAUCCUCAUUACUUCUCAGCUAAAUAUUACUGUUUAGCAAGAUAUCGCUAAUGAUACAGAUUACUCUAGUACAAUCCUUUUCAAACUGUGGUUCCUGGACCCGCAGCAUCAAUAGCUCGUGGGAAUCGGUCAGAAGAGCAAAUUCUCUGACCACACCCCAGACCUACCGAAUCAGACACUCCGGAGCUGGAGCCCAGAAUCUGUGUUUAACAAGCCUUCCAGAUAAUUCUGGCCUGUAAAGUUUGAGACCACUACCAUAGCGCCUAACUGCUCCAACCAGCGGACAGUCCUGUCAUUAAGGACCAGGCAGAAUUUUAACAGAGAGAAAUUGAAUAAGGGAGAACAGGAGUAAUAAUCAAUUCCAUUCUUGUCUUAAAAGAAAUUGGAAAAUUUAUAGGUUCAAUAAUUUUUUAAAAUCCUUCUCCCAAACUCUUGGCCAGUGCCUAGAUUUUUACUUUUAAUUGUAACACCCCCCACCCCCUUGUUCAGGAAGACAGCCUUUGGUGGAUGCCCAAGAGACUGCCAUAAAGACAGCUUUCCUUGAUGAGAAGAACGUGCACAAAGUCAAAAGCCCACGUUAAGUUAAUGUGAUUUUCUAACCAGAUGAUUUAAAUGAUUCACAAAGGAGGUUUGACAAAAGUUGUCGUGGCCUCCACUUGAGCAAUGCAUUCGAAUUCCCUCGUCAAACAAAUAAAAAGGAGGGUUUUGCAAGCAAAUGCUGAUUUGUGGAUGCGCAGGGACUGCAGAGUUCAUGAGCAAGGAGGCACACCUGCGCUGGAAUUUUAACGCCUGAAAAGCCAUUUAAGGAGCAACUGAGGAGCAAUCAGUAUAACCUGAUGGGGCCCCCAAAAGUGCCAGGAGGAGGUACUUCCCAUUUCAAACAGAUCGGAUCAUCAGGCAUAGAUUGGAACCAAAUGUGAGGCCAUCCUCUCGCCUCAGGGCAGCGCUGCAUCAGCUCAGAGGCAGACACACAGUUUCAAAAUGGACUUCUUGGGGCUGGCCGGGUGGUGCAGCGGUUAAGUGCACACAUUCUGCGUUGGCAGCCUGGGGUUCGCCCGUUGGGAUCCCAGGUGCGGACAUGGCACCGCUUGACCAGCCAUGCUGUGAUGCAGAGCCCAUGGAAAGUUGACUCCUCCCCCAGCUUCCUAGAUGGGGUAAGAUUGGUCCAAGUUAGUCAGAGACUCACAUCCCCAUGUCAUAUGGGGCAGUUCUGGCCAAUGAACUAUAAGGUGGCUCUGUUGGUGGCUUCUCGAAAGGUCUGGCGUGGGCUGGAGAUUCUGCAUAUCUACAGGAUCCCAGUGAUGCUGCUGAGGCUGUGUCUGGGGACCCUACUUCUGGAGCACAGCACUCACCACCACCUGCCUUACCCAGUUAAUCGUGCCCCUCUUCCCCCAUCAGACUCUGAUCUCCCACAGGAUUACGAGCUGUGGCAUGGUCUUCCCUAACAUCCAUGCCUAGCAUCCUGGGCUCAGCGUAUGUGCCAAGAAACUGAUGAAAGUGAAUGGCGUUAAAUUAAAUUCGAGUAAAAACGGAUCAUUGCUACAAUUUAGCUCUGUUUUCUCCUUUCUGCCGCUGCAGAUGCACUGUUGACUCUGGAGGGAGGAGCCCAGUGUCCUCUGCUGGUUAACUAAGGAGAGGCCACGGCCAGCAGUCUUCAAGAAUCCAAAGCUUAUCUGCAGUAUUUUUAUGUACCCGAUCAAACUCUCCUUCAGGCAAAAGUACUUGUUUAAGCAGAUGUGUCAGCCAGCAGAUCCAGGCCAUAGCAGCUAUGAAGCCAGAACACAUUUUGCAUAAUAUUUGUGGAAUCACACGAAAGCAUAUUUUCUCCUAAAAAGUAUCUCUAUUGGGAACACGUGUAAUGAAUGCUGCCUUCCCGCCACCUGAAGAAGAGCUGACCUUCACCACCCUCUGUCCUAAUCCAUCCUAAGUAUUUCGUGCUGGGAACAUCUAAGGGUUCUGCCUUCCCGGAACCUUUUAACUGUGAGCCC